rfam:Pseudozyma antarctica T-34 DNA, contig: scaffold00019.
GCGUUGAUAGUACAAUGGCGAGUAUUUCUGCUUUCCACAGGUUGAUUAUGUAAUCAUUAGUCCGCAGAAGAUAGGGGUUCGAUUCCCCUUCAACGCA